AAAGGAAUAGACGGGGGCCCGCACAAGCGGCGGAGCAUGUUGCUUAAUUCGACGCGACGCGAAGAACCUUACCAAGGUUUGACAUACAGGGAAAAGCUCUAGAGAUAGGGUGUCCGCAAGGGUCCUGUACAGGUGGUGCAUGGCUGUCGUCAGCUCGUGUCGUGAGAUGUUGGGUUAAGUCCCGCAACGAGCGCAACCCUCGUCCUAUGUUGCCAGCGGAUAAUGCCGGGGACUCAUAGGAGACUGCCGGGGUCAACUCGGAGGAAGGUGGGGAUGACGUCAAGUCAUCAUGCCCCUUAUGUCUUGGGCUGCAAACAUGCUACAAUGGCCGGUACAAAGGGCUGCUAAACCGCGAGGUGGAGCGAAUCCCAAAAAGCCGGUCUCAGUUCGGAUUGGGGUCUGCAACUCGACCCCAUGAAGUCGGAGUCGCUAGUAAUCGCAGAUCAGCAACGCUGCGGUGAAUACGUUCCCGGGCCUUGUACACACCGCCCGU
rnacentral:rRNA from 1 species